GUUGCUGAUAAAUACGUAAGAUUCUUAAUCCGUGGGAAAUUAGGCCGUACAGUGCCUGUGAUUUUAGACAUGGAAUUAGUUCAAUGUAUUGAACUAAUUUUGAAGCAUCGAAAGGAUGCAUAUGUUCCUGAAAAAAUCCAUAUGUGUUCGGCAUACCUAAUAACAACAAACGCUAUUUUAAAUAUUUAAGAGCAUGUGUUCUUAUGCGAUAUUUUUCUAAAAAAAUGUAAUGCACAAUUACCACAUGUAUUAAGAGGCACUGAAUUACGCAAACACAUUGCUAUAACAUGCAUUACAUUAAAUUUAUCUGAAAAUGAAGUGGAUGAUUUGGCAAACUUUAUGGGACAUCAUGAAAAAAUUCAUAAACGCCACUACCGGCAGUCAAUACCAGCAUUAGAGAUUAUUCGUAUGACAAAGUUUCUUGAGGCAGCGUUAGGUGAAAAUGUGCAACAGCAAUCCAAUAGCGAUUCAGGUAGCGUUCAUAGCGCAGCUAAUAAAAAUUACGAUCUGUAAUAUGACCUGUGAUAAGAGAGGAUGAUGUAUAUCGCGUAAUAAAAUAUGACAAGCUUAUUAUUUUAUAUGGUAACAAAUUAUCUAUUAAAUAUAAACUGCAACACCAACACGACAUGAUUCGCGCGCAUUUAAGACUGUUGGGCCGUUUUCUAUUAACUAUUAAAGAAAUUAAUAAAAAUAUAAUUGAUUUCGAAUCUAUAUAUCAUCCAAAAUUUUAUGAAGAUGUUAUUAUCACAGUUAACAAAGUAGCGGGUUUAAAUAAUGAAGUAGGAAUUUAUUCUAAACCUACUACAGCAGCUAUGUUAGGAACAUUAAUAAAAAAAUUGGUCAUAUACUUAUUACGGAAUGUAUAAAAUGUCAAAAUGAUGAAAAAAAAGGUUUAGUUAAAGAUUUUCUAGAAUUAUUAACAGAAGAUUACGGAACUAGUGUAAACAAAACAGUUGUGGAAACACGCUUACAACAUCAAAGACAAAAAAGUGAUGAUCUUCCAUCAUUGGCUGACAUAGCUAAAUUGUACAUGCAUUUAAAAUGUAAACGACAGAAAGCAUUUGAGGAUUUAAUGAAUGAAUACACAUAUGAAACUUGGUUGGUGUUGGCAGAAUGUACGUUAACCUCAGUUCAAUUAUUCAAUCGUAAACGAGCUGGUGAAAUUGAACGCAUAUUAAUCGCAGAUUUUGAACAAUACAGAGGUAUUGAUUCAGCCACAAUGAAUGAUCUCUUUAAAAAUAUUUCAUUGAAGGCACAAGAAGCAGCAAAAAAAUAUGUGCGUUUUGUGAUUAGAGGCAAACUUGGUCGCACAGUACCUGUGAUAUUAAACACUGAUUUGUUAGAAUGUGUAAAAUUAAUACUGCACUUUCGCGAAAAGGCUAAAGUUCUUGCAGAAAAUCCAUAUAUCUUUGGUCUUCCAAGUUAUAAUCGAAAACGGUUUAAAUAUUUGAGAGCUUGUGUUCUCAUGAAGAAAUUUUCUGAAGAGUGUAAUGCAAAAGUUGCACAUUUAUUACGUGGCACGAAGUUAAGAAAGCACAUUGCUACAUUUGUGCAAAUAUGGAGCUUGCUGACACUGAAAUAUCUGACCUUGCAAAUUUUAUGGGGCAUGCUGAAAAAAUCCAUAGAGAAGUGUAUAGACAACCCAUUAUUAGUCGUGAUAUUUUGAAUAUUACACAACAUUUAGAAGCAGCACAUGGAUGUGAUUCUCAAAGUUCUAGUGAAGAUAGUAGCAAUAAUGAAACAAAUAUCGGAAAAAAAAUAUAGAAAUAGCUAUAAAUGAAGAAAUAAGUGAUGAUAGCUCAUUUGUUAAUACAUCUACAUCAGGAAUUGUCGAUACAUCUACAGCAAAGAUUACAGAUGGUUCAAGAACUAAAAAGCGUUCUUGUUCUCCAUACGGUCCCACAAAGCGAAAACGAUGGACUGAAGAUG